CUAGGAACAACAGAAAACAAUAUAUAAAAUGCCGGCGUUAUUACUACGUAUAUAAAUGCAUAUACAUGAAGAAAUCUGAGCAUCGAAACACUGUAACCACGUGGCGGUAAAACAUUGAACUAAAAGCGACGUGACAUAACUACAAACGGGGUAUAGGAGUAGACUGGACAUCCAAUGUAUUAUCGCAGACGAGAUAUCAAAUAUGCUUUUAUAUGCAUUCUUAAUGGAAUCUAUAGUAUCAGAACUUUUUCCAAAAAGGAAUUACCCAGUAACAGAGGGGCUGGCUUUUCUUUCGGUACGUCAAAGAUGAACUGCGCGUUUCGGUGAACGGUAUUUUCGUUAUCCCCUGAAAAUAUAACCACGUAAUAGACAUUAACACCGUAAAACUUAAACUAUAUGAAAAUAAAAUAAUCUUACCCAUACAAUGCCAUAAAACAACUGGAAUAUAACAAUCAUCAUUGUUCGCUGUGCAAAUGCACAAGAGAAUUGGUAACAAGAACGUAUAUUUUCCGAAUGAAAUCAUUGGGUGUUUACCGUGAGAUAAAAAGUAGUAAUCGAUAUUAA